UUUGGUGACGAUAGCGGAAGGGAACCAUUGGCAUCAUCCCGAACAGGCCGUUAAGCCUUCCAGCGCCGAUGGUACUUGGACCGAAGGGUCCUGGAAGUAGGACGUUGCCAAGC
rnacentral:rRNA from 1 species